rnacentral:rRNA from 1 species
AGCGGCAGGCCUAACACAUGCAAGUCGAGGGGUAACAUUUCUAGCUUGCUAGAAGAUGACGACCGGCGCACGGGUGCGCAACGCGUAUACAAUCUGCCCCCUACUGUGGGAUAGCCCAGAGAAAUUUGGAUUAACACCACAUGGUACCCUAUUGCGGCAUCGCAUUUAGGGUUAAAGGUUACGGUAGGGGAUGAGUAUGCGUCCCAUUAGCUAGAUGGUAAGGUAACGGCUUACCAUUGCUACGAUGGGUAGGGGCCCUGAGAGGGGGAUCCCCCACACUGGUACUGAGACACGGACCAGACUCCUACGGGAGGCAGCAGUGAGGAAUAUUGGACAAUGGGCGGGAGCCUGAUCCAGCCAUGCCGCGUGC